GAUGAACGCUGGCUACAGGCUUAACACAUGCAAGUCGAGGGGAAACGCCGGGGAAGCUUGCUUCCCCGGGCGUCGACCGGCGCACGGGUGAGUAACGCGUAUCCAACCUGCCUCUGACUGAGGGAUAACCCGUCGAAAGUCGGCCUAAUACCUCAUGGCAUCGUCUGCGGGCAUCCAACGACGAUUAAAGAUUUCAUCGGUCAGAGAUGGGGAUGCGUCUGAUUAGCUUGUUGGCGGGGUAACGGCCCACCAAGGCGACGAUCAGUAGGGGUUCUGAGAGGAAGGUCCCCCACAUUGGAACUGAGACACGGUCCAAACUCCUACGGGAGGCAGCAGUGAGGAAUAUUGGUCAAUGGGCGAGAGCCUGAACCAGCCAAGUAGCGUGCAGGAUGACGGCCCUAUGGGUUGUAAACUGCUUUUAUGCGGGGAUAAAGUGAGGGACGUGUCCUUCGUUGCAGGUACCGCAUGAAUAAGGACCGGCUAAUUCCGUG
rnacentral:rRNA from 1 species